UACGAAGGGGGCUAGCGUUGCUCGGAAUCACUGGGCGUAAAGCGCACGUAGGCGGCUUUUUAAGUCAGGGGGGAAAUCCUGGAGCUCAACUCCAGAACUGCCUUUGAUACUGGGAAGCUUGAGUCCGGGAGAGGUGAGUGGAACUCCGAGUGUAGAGGUGAAAUUCGUAGAUAUUCGGAAGAACACCAGUGGCGAAGGCGGCUCACUGGCCCGGUACUGACGCUGAGGUGCGAAAGCGUGGGGAGCAAACAGG
rnacentral:rRNA from 1 species